rnacentral:lncRNA from 1 species
AAAGGCUGCAGGCUUGGCGUAGAGAUGGAUUUCUAAGAAAAGAAAAAAAAUGGUGCUUCCUGCUUACAAUUUAUUAGUUAUCAACCACAAACACUGUGAGCUUUUGCAGACAGAAAUUGUAAGAAAAACUCUACCAAACAUGCUUUUGUCUCAAAUCAAUGCUUAUUUACAUCCUUUUUUCCCAAGGUAUUCACACACAACUGAAUACUGACACACAUCGUAGUCUUUCUUUUGUGAAGUAUAUCUGUUUUCUGCGCUGCCUUUUGUUACAUAUCGCUCCUUUUCUUUUGUAGGCCUUAUUUAUAUUUACAGAAACAGAUCACACUGGUUGCAACCUGCACUGGUGAGCAGAUGUCUUCGAUUCUACAUCACCUGUGUUGAGCAGAUGUCUUCAAUUCUACAUCACUUGUGAUUCAACAAAUGACUUGCUUAAUUUGCAGAAGAAACUUGCGUUUCAAGCUCUGCUCUAUUAUUGUAGCUUGAUUUUGUCUAUAACUGAUUAAAGAAAUGAUCUUAGCAUGCCUUUUCUUUAAUCAAAAUGCAUAUUAUAUGAUAUCUCUUUCUUAUUUUGGUGUCUGACUUGUUUCUGUAAUGAAAGUAUAGCAUGAUGAAAAUGAUGUCUACGAGAGAAGGGGGGAAACAGAAGAAGAAUCUGAAGAUUUAGUGAAACCAGUAAGAUAUUAUAUCAUUUUGAAAUAUACAAACUCUGUAGUCUUCAUUAUUGUCUGAUCAUAUGAUAAACUACUUUUGUUACCGUCCUCAGAAACAGAAAGGUACAUAAGGUCUGAUAGAGAUUGAGAAUCCAAACCUGGUGAAAUUAAAGAAUAUAAAGGUCAAGGACAUUGAUGUAAGUGAGAUACUUGGCGCUUGUUUUCUAUGCAGUCAAAUAUAAUAUAAUGUUUUCUCAUGAACAAUAAAUUUGUUUCUUUAUUAGGAAGAAAAUUUACUCACGAACUAUAUACAUUGAUGGAAUAAGUCUUGAGCAUCUAGAGGACAACCUGCUUUUGACUGUCCUCUGUAGUCCUUUAGCAUCUAGAGGACAGCUUGACUGUCCUCUGUAGUCUCUUUAGCAUCUAGAGGACAACAGUCGCUUUUUGACUGCCCUCUGUAGUCGUUUUAGCAUCUAGAGGACAACAGUCGCUUUUGACUGUCCUCUGUAGUCUCUUUAGCAUCUAGAGGACAAUCCUGUUGUGUAGUGUGUGUGAGAAAGUGUGGUAGUGCAGCCCCUAGGGCUAUAAAUAUGUGUCCACAACCCCUCUAAGGGUAUGUCAUUGUGUAGUGUUUGAGGAAAUAAACAGGAAAAUUGCUCCAACUCAUAGUGUCAUCCUCUUGAUGAGAGUUAGAGUCCCUCUACUUACAAUAUAAAUUGCCCCAACUCAUAGUGUCAUCCUCUUGAUGAGAGUUAGAGUCCCUCUACUUACAAUUGGUAUCAGAGCCAAACUAUCCUGCAGCCUAAACAUCUCUUGCUCAUCUCCUUCCCGCGUCUCUCCCCACACUCAGUCGGCAGCAAGAGCUCCAACUGUUCCUUCCUCUCCUGCUCAGACGAGCAACCUUUCGUCUGAGACAGCCUCUUCCACACGCAGCGACCCCUCACUAGCCCACCAUGUCCCUACGCUCGGUCACUUCGAGUGCGCGGCGCCAGCAGGAAGCCGAGGUCGCCGCGGCACAAGAACGAGAGCGAGCAGCAGCAGCGGCUGCAGCGACAGCGGCGAGGGCAGCACGGCUGGCGGCAGCGGAACUGGCAGCAGCGAGAGCGGAAGUAGAAGCAGCGGAGGCGGCAGAUGCUGCACGUGCGGCGGUAGCAGAGCUCGAGGUUCUGCGCGGUAGUAGAGCUGGCAGCUCUGCUUCUGUCGACGACAACACCGACGAAGAGCUCAGGCUGGCGAGGGAAGCAGCGAGAGCAGGCGGCACAGUGGGCAGCCGCACACCCCCAUGGGGGCGCGCGUGGCGGCAGCCCAGAUAGGCGCCGACGCGCUGACGGCGCUUCGGGCGAGGGCGCACGCGGCGGCAGCCCAGACGGGCGUAGACGCGCCGGCGGUGCUCCCGACGGCGGCGACCGGGUCGACGGAGAUCGCGGCCUCUACAGGCGGCGCGACUCUCCCUCCCCGGAUCGGUACCAUGGUCGCCGCAUGGCCCAGGCCAUUGUCAGGGACAUCGGUCCCGGCGGUGGGUGGCCUACCCUCACCAAGACCAACUACGUCGAGUGGGCCGCGGUGAUGAGGGUACGGCUCCAGGUUCGCCAAAUGUGGGAAGCAGUUCGGUACGGCGACGUCGACUACCACGAGGAUCGACGGGCGCUGGAUGCCCUCAUUGCUGCAGUCCCGUCCGAGAUGCAGUUUUCGCUUUCCCAGAAGCGGACUGCCAAGGAGGCCUGGGACGCCAUCGCUGCGACCCGCAUCGGCAGCGACCGUGCCCGCAAGACCACACUGCAGACACUUCGCAAGGAGUGGGAGAACCUGGCCUUCAAGCCAGGUGAGGAUGUUGAUGACUUUGCUCUCCGCCUCAACACUCUGUUGCAGAAGAUGGUGCAGUUCGGCGACGACACCUACGAUGAGGAGAGAGCUGUUGAGAAGCUCUUCCGUUGCACCCCCGAGAAGUACAAGCAGAUCGCUCGCUCGAUCGAGUCUCUGCUAGAUCUCUCCACGAUGACGAUCGAAGAGGCGAUAGGUCGUCUCAAGGUGGUCGACGGCGACGAACCACAGGCUCCCUCUGGCCCUAUCACUAUUGGCGGGAAGCUACAUCUCACUCGGGAGCAGUGGAAGGCCUGCCAGGGUGACCAGAAGAAGGGGGAGUCCUCGACACGAGGCCGCAAACGCGGCAAGCCGCGCAAGGCGCGUGGAGGCGCCCAGGCCGGGGCGCGAGGACAUGCUGAGGGUGGUGCCCGUGGAGGUGCCCAAGGCGGCGCCGUCGGCAACAAGAAGCCGGCACGAGACGACGACUGUCACAACUGCGACAAGCUUGGCCACUGGGCCAGGGACUGUCGGCAGCCACGACGUGGUCAGGCCAACGUCGCACAGGCGGAGGCGGAGGAGGAGGCCCUGCUCCUGGCACAUGCAAGCAUCGAGCCACCUCCAGCGGCACUCCUCCACCUUGAUGAGUCGAAAGCACGCGCUUUCCUCGGCGACGGCUCCAACAAGGACAUGAUCGAAGGAUGGUGCCUCGACACCGGCGCCACUCAUCACAUGACCGGCCGACGGGAGUUCUUCACCGAGCUUGACUCUAGCGUCCGAGGCUCCGUCAAGUUUGGGGACGCCUCCGGUGUAGAGAUCAAGGGCGCCGGCUCAGUCGUCUUCACCGCCACGUCUGGUGAGCACAGGCUGCUCACCGGAGUCUACUACAUCCCCGCGUUAAGAAACUCUAUCAUCAGCUUGGACAGCUGGAUGAGAACGGUUCCCGCAUGGAGGUCGAGCACAGAGUCAUGAGGAUCUAGGAUCCCUCUCGUCGCCUUCUUGCCAAGGUACGCAGGAGUGCAAAUCGGCUUUACAUCCUCAAUGUGAAGGUGGCACAACCUUGCUGCCUUGCUGCUCGUCGAGACGACGGGGCAUGGCAGUGGCACGAGCGCUUCGGGCACCUUAACUUCGAAGCCCUGAAGCGGCUCAGCGCCAAGGAGAUGGUACGAGGCCUGCCGUGCCUUGACCAUGUGGAGCAAUUCUACGAUGUCUGCGUGUUGACAAAGCAGAGACGGCUCCCCUUUCCCCAGCAGUCGAACUUCCGAGCCAAGGAGAGGCUCGAGCUCGUGCAUGGGGACUUGUGUGGCCCGAUGACACCAGCCACACCAGGAGGACGACGCUACUUCUUGCUGCUCGUCGACAAUCUCUCCCGCUACAUGUGGGUGAUGAUCCUUGGCAGCAAGGGAGAGGCUGCGAACGCCAUCAGGCGUGUGCAGGUCGCUGCGGAGGUGGAGUGCGGCCGCAAGUUGCGCGUGUUGCGCACCGACAACGGCGGCGAAUUCACGGCGGCUGAGUUCGCGUCGUACUGCGCGGAUGAGGGCGUUCAGCGCCACUACUCCGCGCCGUAUAGCCCGCAGCAGAACGACGUCGUCGAGCGGCGCAACCAGACGGUUGUGGGGAUGGCUCGGGCUCUCCUCAAGCAGAGAGGAAUGCCAACUGUCUUCUGGGGAGAGGCGGUGGUGACAGCGGUUUACAUCCUCAACCGCUCGCCCACCAAGGCUCUCAACGGUAUGACACCGUACGAGGCUUGGCAUGGGCGCAAGCCGGCGGUCUCUCACCUACGGGUCUUCGGCUGCCUCGCAUUCACCAAGGAGCUUGGCCACAUCAGCAAGCUCGACGAUAGGAGCACCCCGGGGGUGUUCAUUGGCUACGCGGAGGGCUCGAAGGCCUACCGCAUCCUUGACCCAAGAACACAGCAUGUGCGCACGACGCGCGACGUAGUGUUCGACGAAGGGCGAGGAUGGGCGUGGGACAAGGUGGUGGACGACGGCACGACUCCGACGUACGACUUCACCAUCGAGUACGUCCACUUUGAGAGAGCUGGGGGAGUAGGCAACUCUUCUCCGAGCAGGUCUACCCUAGCCCCCAAGUCUCCACCGACUCCAGCGCCAAACUCUCCAGCUCCUGCUACAACGAGCUCUUCACCACCACGCACUCCAGCCACGACUCCGGCUGCAGCGAGCUCUUCGCCACCACGUACUCCAGCACCGACGGUACCCUCUCUGGGAACGUCCUCUCCGACACCAGCUCGUGUCGAGCACGACCUAGUGGAGCUCGUGACCCCUCUGUCCCGCGACGAGGAGCGCGUUGACGCGUGCUACGACGGCGAGCCGUUGCGGUAUCGAAGGGUGGAGGGCCUUCUCAUCGACCCGUCGGUGCCAGGCCCUGCAUCUCGCAUUCUGGCAGGAGAGUUGCAUCUUGCAUGCGACGAUGGUGAGCCUCGGUCUUUCGCGGAGGCCGAGAAACAUGCGGCUUGGCGUGCCGCGAUGCAGUCGGAGAUGGACGCGGUUGAGACGAACCGCACCUGGGAGCUCGCUGAUCUCCCUCAUGGUCAUCGCGCGAUCACCCUUAAAUGGGUGUUCAAAUUAAAGAGGAUGAAGCCGGCGCCAUCGUCAAGCACAAGGCUCGCUUGGUGGCACGCGGUUUCCUACAGCAGGAGAGGAUCGACUUCGACGAUGCUUUCGCCCCCGUGGCACGGAUGGAAUCCGUGCGACUCCUCCUUGCGCUGUCAGCCCAGCAGGGCUGGCACGUUCAUCACAUGGACGUCAAGUCGGCGUUUCUCAACGGCGACUUAAAGGAGGAGGUCUACGUACACGAGCCGCCAGGUUUUGCGAUCCCUGGCAAGGAGGGCAAGGUGUUGCGCCUGCGCAAGGCUCUCUAUGGCCUGCGACAGGCACCGAGGGCGUGGAAUGCCAAGCUGGAUUCCACGCUCAAAGGAAUGGGUUUCACGCCAAGCCCGCACGAGGCGGCCAUCUAUCGGCGGGGCAAUGGAGAAAAUGCCCUGCUGGUGGGUGUCUACGUCGACGACUUGAUGAUCACCGGCGCCAAGGAUGCAGAGGUGGCAGCGUUCAAGGAAGAGAUGAAGGCCACCUUCCAAAUGAGUGACCUGGGGCACCUCUCCUUCUACCUGGGGAUUGAGGUGCACCAGGGGGACUCCGGGAUCACACUUCGCCAGACCGCCUACGCCAAGCGCAUUGUUGAGCUGGCUGGGCUCACCGACUGCAACCCAGCUCUCACUCCGAUGGAGGAGAGGCUGAAGCUGAGUCGCGACAGCACGACAGAGGAGGUGGACACUACACAGUACCGGCGUCUUGUGGGGAGCCUUCGCUACCUUGUCCACACACGGCCUGACUUGGCAUACUCCGUCGGCUACGUUAGUCGGUUUCUGCAGAGACCGACGACGGAGCAUGAGCAGGCUGUGAAGAGGAUCAUCCGCUAUGUUGCGGGGACUCUCGACCACGGUCUCUACUACCCGAGGUGCCCUGGGGAGGCACACCUUGUCGGGUACAGCGAUAGCGACCACGCCGGCGACAUCGACACCAGCAAGAGCACAAGCGAGAUCCUCUUCUUCCUCGGCAAGUGCCCCAUCAGCUGGUAGUCGGUCAAGCAGCAGGUGGUGGCCAUGUCCAGCUGCGAGGCCGAGUACAUAGCGGCGUCCACUGCUUCGACUCAGGCUCUCUGGCUGGCUCGACUGCUCGGUGAUCUCCUCGGGAGAGACACUGGAGCGGUGGAACUCAGGGUGGACAGCCAGUCCGCUCUGGCAUUGGCCAAGAACCCCGUGUUCCAUGAACGGAGCAAGCACAUCCGACUGAGAUACCACUUCAUCCGAGACUGCUUGGCAGAAGGGAGCAUCAAGGCGCGCUACAUCAACACCAAGGAUCAGCUUGCAGACCUGCUCACCAAGCCCCUUGGGAAGAUCAAGUUUGUUGAGCUUUGCUUCAGGUCCGGGAUGGCCCAACUUUCUCACAAGACGACGCCCAAGACUUAGGGGCAGAAUGAUGGAAUAAGUCUUGAGCAUCUAGAGGACAGCCUGCUUUUGACUGUCCUCUGUAGUCCUUUAGCAUCUAGAGGACAGCUUGACCGUCCUCUGUAGUCUCUUUAGCAUCUAGAGGACAACAGUCGCUUUUUGACUGUCCUCUGUAGUCGCUUUACCAUCUAGAGGACACCAGUCGCUUUUGACUGUCCUCUGUAGUCUCUUUAGCAUCUAGAGGACAAUCCUGUUGUGUAGUGUGUGUGAGAAGGUGUGGUAGUGCAGCCCCUAGGGCUAUAAAUAUGUGUCCACAACCCCUCUAAGGGUAUGACAUUGUGUAGUGUUUGAGGAAAUAAACAGGAAAAUUGCUCCAACUCAUAGUGUCAUCCUCUUGAUGAGAGUUAGAGCCCCUCUACUUACAAUAUAAAUUGCCCCAACUCAUAGUGUCAUUCUCUUGAUGAGAGUUAGAGUCCCUCUACUUACAUACAUUGUUAAGCAAAGUAUGAAUUAGAUUAAGGGUUACACAAUGCAUUUAUGCAGCAAAACAUGCUAAAACAGUUCAAGAAAUGUGAUAGCUCCUGGAAGUCUCGGACUGCAGGACAGAUAUAAACUAUUGGAUGAUUAAUGUGGACUUCUAUCUUGCUAUUAUGUUGGCCUAAAAAUGUCCUUUAGUAGGUGACUAAGUAUUGAAUGCUGUCCCCCCCCCCCCCCCCCCCCCCCCCCCCCCUCAGUAACUAGGAAUUACGUUGGCCUGAAGUUUUUCCUUUUCCAUUGGACGAAUUAGUUUUGCAUUAGUGUUUAUUGAAUUUGGAUGAUGAUAAUAAACUGUGGGGUCAUGAAUACUAGAAUCGCAAAAUCUGUGCCAUAGACAUGUAUUCCUGAGUAACUGUUAAACAGUUAAUAGUUAACAUGUGUGGGGUCAUGAACUUACUCAGCAAGUAACUGAGCAAAAACUGUGUACUCAGGAAGAUAAAAUUGUGGGGUCAUAAAUUGUGUUUCUUAUAUAAUUCAUAAUGAAACUAUUGCUGAUUGGAUGAAUUUUCAGGUGGUAAUGUAUUGUGGAAUCCUGUUUUACAACUUCAACCAUUGAUUCCAGUGAAGCUAAUGCCAUGGAAUGGAAUUCUCACCACGUUUGCUGGCUGUACGAGUACACAAAUCUGAUGAAUGGAUUCAGCUAAAAUGUCAUAGAAUGGACCCGGAAUUUAUGCUCUUUUUUUGUGCUCUCUCAGCAUGUGCUAGCUGGUUAAGUACUAGCAUUGCUAUUGGGCGCUAUUUUGUAUGCUUGUUCUGCUGUCUUUUGGAUGUAAACGAACAAGUUUGCAUGCUUGUUCUGCUAUUGGAUAAGAAGUAUUAGCAUUGCUAUUUGCAUGCUUGUUCUGCUGGUUAAGAAGUUAAGAAGUAUUAGCAUGUGACUUGUGGAGAUGUGCAUGCUUGUUCCGCUCGCACUGCUUGCUUGUUUGCAACCUGCAGCAAUCUGUGCCAAACGGACACAGGGCACGACAGGCAGUGCAGGUAAAUGCCUCCGCCGGUUGUGGCUGGCCUGGCCGGUGUGGGCUGUCAACUGGCUGCCGAACAGAGGCCUUACCGGUUUCCAGAAGACAUGAAGAAAAUGAGUCUAGUCAGAAUAUUUGCUUCUAAUGAUUCACGCAUUUUCUACGAGUGGCAACUCGGUUCAUACAUC